rnacentral:rRNA from 1 species
AACGUAGGUUCCGAGCGUUAUCCGGAUUUACUGGGCGUAAAGCGCGUUCAGGCGGUUUGGCAAGUCGGGCAUGAAAUCCUUCGGCUCAACCGGGGGAGGUUGUCCGAUACUGCUAAACUGGAGGGCAGUAGAGGGUGGUGGAAUUCCGGGUGUAGUGGUGAAAUGCGUAGAGAUCCGGAGGAACACCAGUGGCGAAAGCGGCCACCUGGACUGUACCUGACGCUGAAGCGCGAAAGCUAGGGGAGCGAACGGG